UACGUAGGGGGCGAGCGUUGUCCGGAAUUAUUGGGCGUAAAGGGCUCGUAGGCGGUUUGUCGCGUCGGGAGUGAAAACACCGGGCUUAACUCGGUGCUUGCUUUCGAUACGGGCAGACUAGAGGUAUGCAGGGGAGAACGGAAUUCCUGGUGUAGCGGUGAAAUGCGCAGAUAUCAGGAGGAACACCGGUGGCGAAGGCGGUUCUCUGGGCAUUACCUGACGCUGAGGAGCGAAAGUGUGGGGAGCGAACAGG
rnacentral:rRNA from 1 species